rnacentral:rRNA from 1 species
GAUGAACGCUAGCGGCAGGCUUAAUACAUGCAAGUCGAGGGGCAGCAUAAGUAGCAAUACUUGAUGGCGACCGGCAAACGGGUGCGGAACACGUACGCAACCUUCCUUUAAGUGGGGAAUAGCCCGGGGAAACCCGGAUUAAUACCCCGUAAUAUUAUGAUGUGGCAUCACAUUAUAAUUAUAGAUUCAUCGCUUAAAGAUGGGCGUGCGCCUGAUUAGGUAGUUGGCGGAGUAAUAGCCCACCAAGCCUGCGAUCAGUAACUGGUGUGAGAGCACGACCAGUCACACGGGCACUGAGACACGGGCCCGACUCCUACGGGAGGCAGCAGUAAGGAAUAUUGGUCAAUGGACGCAAGUCUGAACCCAGCCAUGCCGCGUGGAGGAUGAAGG